GGGGCGGUGCGGAGCGGGGCAAUGGGCGCGGAGCGGUGCGGAGCAAUGGGCGCGGGGCGGUGCGGAGCGGAGCAAUGGGCGCGGGGCGGUGCGGAGCGGGGCAAUGGGCGCGGAGCGGGGCGCGGGGCGCGGCGCUGGCUCCGGCCGCCGCCAAACCCCGCCUCGGGGCCGCUCAACCCGGUGGCCCGGCGGCGGUCAUUUCCGUGAGGGGCUUGUCCCGGCUGUCGACGCGCUGAGGUCACUCUGGGAAGUUGCAUUUGCACCUUUUAUUUUUUUUUUUAAUUUAAUUUUAUUUAUUUAUUUUUUCUCCCUAGAAACGGGAUCUCAGCGCGCGUGUCGCCCAGCUGCGUGGAAGCGCUCAAAGGGAAGUUCGAGCGCUUCCCCUGAAGAGGCAGAGCCAAAUCUCUAGGAAAUCCUGCGGGUUAAGUGUUGUGGUGCGGGAGAGGUGGGUUUUGUGGUCUCCCGCCCCCCACCGGGGCUAGCGAGGGGUAUGAGGGCAACACCAGCCGCUCUGCCCCGGGGAUGAAGGUUGGGGAUGUUCCCGGCUCUUUGAUUCAGACCGCAGUUCCUACUCUGGAUUUCUGUUUUAUGAGGGUCUCAGCGUAAGUGGGUUCCCGCUGCCAGCUCCAGCCAAGAGGCAGGGAAAAGGCUUUGCAGCCCGCUUCAUGCAAGGCACCAGAAAAUCCCAGCGGGCAUCCCUUCUGCGUCUCUUGGAGGCACCGUUUCUAGAAGCCAUAUUUUUGAAGGCUUUUGGCCAGCUGCACAAUACAUCUUUCUAUUUCUUUUGCAAUUAGCAAGCGUUCGGCCUCUUUUCCCUAUGCUAGAAUAAACCCAGCCUCUCAGGAGUGGUUACAGUGCAGCUGAUCUCACUUUGGAGAAAGACGGGGCUCUUGGAACCCAUGCUUUCUGUUAUUUUCUGAGUGUUUUGACACCCUGUUAGCUCUACAGACUUCUCAGUGGACUUCCUGAUCCUUGAAAAAGCAUUUAUUGUACAUUUUUAUGCCUCGUCUCAAUUGUCCCUCAAUUUGGUUAUAAUGCCACCUCUGCUGUGGUUUGUGCUUAACACAUCAGUGCUUACGGUUCUUUCGAUUUUCUUCUCCGAACGCAACUUGGUUUUAAUAACCUCCUUGGCUCUGCUGCUUCUUUUUGCCCUUUAUCUAGUCUUUUCUGACACUGAUGUGCACUUACUCUGCCGCUAUGAUCACGUUUCUAUCUACCCUUCAAAAGCCUUUAGUGUCUUAGAUGUUCCUGUUACCUUCUUCUUCAAAAGCUUCCAUAUUUUUACACAGUUCCCCUGUUCUGAGAACGGGCACAACUGUUCUGUAUUGCCUUAUUGCGAUGGACCACAAAAGUAGAGGGGCAGGAACUGAAAAGCAGAAGGCACCAGAGAUGAAGACAAUGAGGUGCAGGACUUUAUUUCUGUACAUCGCCAUUGCUUCAGUUAAUAUUCAAGGGGUAUGUCUUAAAGUUAACCACACAGACUAGGCAGAGAGCCAGAGAAAUAAUAAGGUUAUUUUCUUGCUUCAGAUCGUGUUGUGGAGGGACUGAAAACAGUCUAAGCAUAGGAGGUGUGCCACGAAGUUAUCACCCUGCCCCUGCAGCACGGGAGAUAACGGUCCAGUACAGAGGAAGGCUGCAAAGGGAAUGGAUUAUGAAAAGCAGCUUUUAUUUUUAGUUAAAAUUUAAACACAGUAUUGACACAAAGCAAUACUCAAUGGGGAAAAAUCUACCCAAACGACAAACCUUGGGGACUUUACAAACAUGCACAGAAUUGAACCCUCGGCAGCACCAGUCAGCUUGAGUCGUGCGGCCCUGUGGCAAACGACGUGUUCUUGUAAACUCUUCCUUUUUUCCUAAUGCAGCCCAUGAGCGGCUUUACUGCACUUUGCCAAAGGGUUGGAGUCCUUACACCGACCAUUUGAACUUCAGUGUUUGCAUUUCUGAGGGGACGAUAAACGGGGCAUGAAUAUUUCAUACGUUCCCCUGAUAGGUGAAAUAUUUUAAAACUCCCAUAGUCAAAACAGCGCAUCGGUUAAGGCAUUGUGGCUGUCCCCAUGGAAUCUGUAACAGAGAUAAGCUCCGUUCCUUCCUACGAGGACAGGAAGCAUGGAAACAAUUUGCUUCGUGCACCAUUAUGUUUCAACAUUUCUUAGGUAAUUUGUUUGAGGACUUGCAGUUAUCUCUGGCAAACAAUUUACCUUGGCAAUAUUGUUUUCUGUGGAAAUGGGUUCCAAACCUGCAGGACUUGCAGAAGAACCAAAGUCCUGACAUGCCUGGUAAUGUUUUCAGCACGGCAAAACCAAUGCGAGGCAUAUUAAAACAAGUCUAGGAUGUGCUCCACGCGCUUAGCAAAAACGUGGGGAAGAAAAUAUUAAACUGAUUUGUUUGUUUUGAAGUUCAGGAGGAAAUGAGGAACCUGUGACUGAUGCAUGGCGCUGAACGUACGGAGAACAAAAGCCGAAUUUCAAUAUCUCUGGUUAGCAUAAAUUUGCUAACUUGCUCUUAAGCAUCUUCAAUGUUGACCAUCGAGCUUCUCAUUGCGUAGUGAACACUUUAAACAGCACUGCCUCUUUUAAAUCCAGCUGCCUGGCAAAGGAAGUUGGUAUGUUAGGACUAUAUUCCAUCAGAAAAUAUACUCCGACACCCUCAGAAAUCAAGGGCCUGCAAAAUUAAGUGUAGCUCUGCGGUCCAAACUGGUUCUCAAGAUCUUUGAGUGCGGACUGUAUUUGCUGUACAAAGCUCUCUGGUCUCUCUAGCAGCGUCUGAGCAGAAAUCAAAGGCAAGAGAACAAAACCAAAAAUGCAUCACGGCCUCUCCUCCUCAGAGAGCUGCAAAUGCAAAUGGAUUUUCAGAACAACACCCAGAAAUAACGGCUAGGCUCACACUGGUAGUGUGAGACCCAGACAUGCCUGAACUUCAAGAACAUUCAGAUCCAGGCGAGAAGUUCCUGGUUUCAGCCUAUACUUGUUACAUGUCAUUAUGUGUGAUGUUUCUUUAAAAAAUUGUCCAAUAACUGCCUUGUCUAUGCACCUUUUCUCCCUGCAUUUGCACCUGGAGGAACGCCGUUCACCCAUGUCACGUGGCCAGUAUGACUAACGCUAUUUUAGGCCGCCCCUGGGGCUGCAGAAAUAAGUGAUGCACCAUCCACUGGGCAAACGCACUAGUUACGCUGCGGUGACAAGCCAUUAAACAUCAGUUCUCCCAAAAUCGAUUGCAAAACUUCCACUGAAUUAGAUGCUCUUUCUGAUAAAGCAUGCAUGGGAACUGCUGAAGUAUACAGCCUCCUGGGCGUGACAACAUGCAGAGUCCUGUCUAGUGUGUGAAACCCAGCUGCCAGGAAAUAGAAUACUACGGACAAAAGCAAGCUGUUCUGAAGUCCCUAAUAUUUCAGCACAGAAGCAAAGGGAAACACAAAAAGUAAAGCAGAAACACACACAAACACUGGGCAGCUGCAUUUCAUUGCACUUAUAGGCAGAUACAACCCCUCAUGCGCUUGCUGCCCGUGUCCCACUAGAUGGUGUUCAUGCUACAAGAAAAAACAGGAUGCAGAAGCGUGCCCGAGCUGUCAGAAUUGGUUUGUCACCCUUCAGCUUUUUUGUGUGUUUUAAAUGUAUCAACAGCUCUCACACUG